rnacentral:rRNA from 1 species
UUUAAGCAUAUCACUCAGUGGAGGAAAAGCAAGCAACUGCGAUUGCUACAGUAACGGCGAGUGAAUGGGCAACAGACUGUCUCUUCCCGAAGUGAAUCCCUAUCGCACUGCUCAGCAGAUGCGUUCGGCUCUCGUGGGUUUCAGCAGAUGCUGUGGGCUGUGGAGUGGAUGGCUGUGUGCUGUUCUGAUUGGGCACCAGGAAGUGACCUGGAAUGGUCCACAACAAAGGGAUACUGUCCCCUACUGGUGCUGUGUGCUCGAUCAGUCAGUGUGUGGCUGUCUACAUCCAGGAGUAGAGUGGCUUGGGACUGCAGUUUGAAGUGCAAGGUGUAUCCAUUGCAAGGAAGCAUAUUGACAUGGGACCGAUAGCGCACAAGUAGAGUGAUUGAAGGAUGCAAAGGACUCUGUGAAGAGGGUUAAAAGUCCCUGAAGCCUUGGCAGGAACGGCGGAAAGUGGUGUUGUGGUGUCAUGGCUGUGCAGACCACCAGUCACAGGCUGGCUGGUGGAUUGUCCCUGCACAGUCAGCAGCCUCUCCGGAGCUGCAGCAGAUAAGUGACUACCAAGUGACCUUGGACCAGCCCAGGGCUGGCUACUGAGCCCUGCUCAGAUCAGAGUGGGAUGCAAUCGUGGCAGCUUGUUGGUGACACCCUGCCUGUCAGGGUCUGAGGUUUGCAGAGAUCUCUCCAGUGAAACUGUGUCAAGGGCAAAGCAAGGAGCAGCAGGUCGCUCUGGUCGGCUCGGAAGGAUCCUCUGUUGAGGCGCAAGCUCACGCCAUGCAUGUGACUCUGUGUGAAUUGUGUAGCCUGAAGCACCGGUUGUGCAAAGUCAAAGGAGCCAAAACCCUGCUGUUGUCUGCGGACAUCGCAGGUGUGCCAUGCCCAGACAUGGGCUUGAGGCUGGUGGAGGCAUGGGGCUGCAUCGCUCUGCCGAUGGCCCUGCGUCACUGCUGGUUUCCCCGAUGGUGCAUGGUACUCAGGGCAUCUGAGCUUGGUAUCAACAAUGCCACUCUCUGCCCGUCUUGAAACACGGACCAAGGAGUCUAUGGAGCUUGCAGGUUUGUCGGUGACUCAGCAAACCACAAGGCGUGGUGAAGGCAAACAUCCCCGAUGGUGUCGUGCAUGGAGCUGCCAGAGUGCAACAGAUGUGGAAGCAACCCAGGGCUUGCUGUUGGGCAUCCGCUGAGCAUGUGGAACUGUCUGUGUUCAGGACCUGUCACAAGGCAACCUGUGUGUGGCAGAAGCAUCAAGGGUGACUGGAGCUUAUGUGUGAUUGCUGCAGGGGACACCGGUCCCGAAGUCCAGUGGACAGGGUUCUGAGUGAUUGCAAGGUCCAUGGGACCCGAAAGGUGGUGAACUAUACCGUUCUAUGUCGAAGCCGUGGGAAACUGCGGUGGAGGACAGUCGCUGUUCUGACGUGCAAAUUGUGUAGCCUGAGUGCGGCAUAGGGGUGAAAGGCCAAUCGAGCCACCUAGUAGCUGGUUUCCCUCGAAGUUUCCCUCAGGAUAGCUGGGUUCGAAUGCAACACCACUGAAGUGGUUACGUCCGGUAAAGCAACGCAUGAGAGGCUAUUGCUGGGAAGCUCUCUUCCUGGACCUAUUCUCGAACUGUGAAUGGGCGUGGCGACACCCCAAAGGCAUGCUUCUUCACUGAUGCUGGAGCCCGUGUCACAGCGGUUCUCCUGGCUUCUGAGCGUGUUGAGUGGGCUGGCAACCCACCAGAGAUCAGUGUUUGGUGAUACUCCCCACAGCCCUCGGUGGGCUUGCCAUGCAUCUCUGUGAGGCUGGCAGCUGCCGCUGUGGUUGUGUGGGCAGUCCCUCCACCAACACCAAGGCUCUUGUUGACUCUGUGCGAAGUUGGUUGCUGUCAUGGUGAACAGACGCACCUAUGUGGACCAAGAUUGGUAAGCAGUGCUGGUGAUGCGGGGUGCUCCGAGAGCAGACUUACAGAUCCGGAGUGCUGGCUCAUACACAGAUCCCACAAAGGAUGUUGCUUGCUAGGGAUAGCAGGACGGUGGCCAUGAAGGUUGGAACCCGCUAAGGAAUGUGUAACAACUCACCUGCCGAAGCGUGCAGCUCCGAAAAUGGAUGGAGCCCAAGUCAGUGAAGCUGAGAUUGCCUUACAGUCUGCCACUGCUGUGGCAGCCAAGCAGAGCAUCAGUGUGUAGAAAGGACAUGGGAGACUGCAGCAACAGUUGAGGUUGCCCUCGGCUGGAGUGUCUCCUGGCGCAGAUCUUGGUUGUAGUAGCGAAUACUCCAUCGGGUGAAGAGCAGAACAACCCUGCUGUGUGCGGUUGAGGACAGGAGUGGAGCAGGUUUCCGCACCAAACAGCCGUUGAAUGCGGGUCAGCCGACCGUGAGUCAAGUGGUAAUUCACCAAACAACCAAAGCUGCCAUAGCCCAUCAGGAGUCAUCGUCUCUGAGUCAAGGUGGAGAGCCAUCUGUCAAGGAUUCAUAGCAGCAGCAGACCAUGGACUGCACACCGGUUUGCCACAGCAGGCAACCAAGAACUUCAGCAGUGGGCAGUCGGUCUCCACAGCCAACAGGGCAUCUCCCAACCCUCUGUCUCGGCAGCGAUUCUCUCUGGUGGUGCACCCUGGCAGGAGUGGCAAACAGGCAAGCAAGUGCAACAUUCUGCUGUGAUGGGCUUGAGGUUCUCUGGUGGUGACACCAGUGUGACUGGACUAGCAGGCUUUGGGGCAGUGCACCCCCCGGGGAGUUAUCGUUUCCUCCUGAUGCAGGCACAUGUGGGCUAUCGAUUUGCAUGCCACAUGGUGGUGUAUGCCCUUCGCUCAGCAAGGCAGCAUGGCAUCUGUGCUGGUGGUCUCUCAGAGACAGGAUUGACUCAGGCCAAAGGGAGCUCUCGCUCCCAAGUCAAGUGUGGGCUACAAAGGGAACUCGUUGUCAUUGGUGGUCACUGGCUCCAAGGAACAGCCUGUGGGACUAUGGUGCCUCUGGUCCCUGAUCCUCGUACUGAAUCACCGCAGCCGGUCUCCUCGGCUAGACGCCGCUUGUUGACAGAUGAAAUGCAGCUAAGGGAAGUCGGCAAACUGGCCAUGUACCUUUGGAAGAUGUGGUGGCUCCAGAGGUCAAGUCGCAGGGCCCAGCCGUGCACUGUGUGGUGUGGGGGUGGCUACCCCAUGUGGUGGUCUCGGCCAUCGCGUGGGACUGGCUGUCUCUGCCAGCACAGUCGCUGCGGUUGGGGGUCGAUCAGCCUUCUGGCUGCUUCGCACCCACCCCCGCGUCUAUGAAGUGACUCAUGUGGAACUGUUGCUGUGCAGGGGAAUCUGACUGUUUAAUUGAAACACAGCUUUGUGACGGGUCCAGCUGGCUGGUCCCAUGAGGUGACUUCUGCCCAGUGCUCUGAUUGUCAAUGCGAAGAGAUUCAGCCAAGCGCGGGUAAACGGCGGGAGUAACUAUGACUCUCUUAAGGUAGCCAAAUGCCUCGUCAACCAAUUAUUGACGCGCAUGAAUGGAUCAACGAGAUUCCUGCUGUCCCUAGUUGCUGUCUGGUGAACCAACAGCCAAGGGAACGGGCU